AACGAACGCUGGCGGCAGGCCUCAAACAUGCAAGUCUAGGGGGUGUAGCAAUACAUCACCGGCGGACGGGUGCGUAACACGUGGGAAUAUACCUUUCGGUACGGAAUAACUGCGGGAAACUGCAACUAAUACCGUAUACGUCCUAGCGGAGAAAGAUUUAUCGCCGAAGGAUUAGCCCGCGUUCGAUUAGCUUGUUGGUGAGGUAACGGCUCACCAAGGCGACGAUCGAUAGCUGUUCUGAGAGGAAGAUCAGCCACACUGGGACUGAGACACGGCCCAGACUCCUACGGGAGGCAGCAGUUGGGAAUCUUGGACAAUGGGGGAAACCCUGAUCCAGCCAUGCCGCGUGAGUGAUGAAGGCCUUCGGGUUGUAAAACUCUUUCGUACGGGGACGGAGUAAUGACGGUACCCGUAGAAGAAGCUCCGGCUAACUUCGUG
rnacentral:rRNA from 1 species